rnacentral:rRNA from 1 species
UACGUAGGGCGCAAGCGUUGUCCGGAUUUAUUGGGCGUAAAGAGCUCGUAGGCGGUUUGUCGCGUCUGCUGUGAAAACUGGAGGCUCAACCUCCAGCCUGCAGUGGGUACGGGCAAGCUAGAGUGCGGUAGGGGAGAUUGGAAUUCCUGGUGUAGCGGUGGAAUGCGCAGAUAUCAGGAGGAACACCGAUGGCGAAGGCAGAUCUCUGGGCCGUAACUGACGCUGAGGAGCGAAAGCAUGGGGAGCGAACAGG